rnacentral:lncRNA from 1 species
CACACAAUUUACAGAGACAUAAACAAGAAAACUUGAACAGUCUAUCUGCUCACAAAAUUAAUAUGUAAUUAAGACAAAAAAAGGAGAUUAGAAGAGAAUUAAUUGAACUGAGAAAAAUCCCUAAAUAUGUGUACUGUGUAAAACAUUUUUUGAAAAUGAGUCUGCAAUUUAUUAUCUCUUCAAGCAGAAAACAAGCUGUCCACACCCUUUCUAAUGCCUUGUGUACACGCAGUAAACACUUGGGAUAUGUAGAUAAGAGUAGUGCACUACGUAUAUUCCUCCACAUCCUUACAUUUGCUUUUAGGAACAUCAUUCUAAAUGGUCAUUCAGCGGCAACUGAGCAGGCAUAUGCAUUUAAAAAUUGCACUUGUAUUCAUUUUCAUACUUGUGCACUUGCACUGGAGCUGCACUGUAGAUAUAUGUCAACCAGGUGAUGACUGCAAAAAUCAAGACGUGUAUGACAAAACUGACAGCAAUCCCUGAAAUCUUUAGCGGUUGGAGCCUUUGAGGGUUUGACUGAUACCGCGACCAUUGAGACAUCUGGCACAAACGUGACAUCAUUACUUGUGGGUGUUUUUAAGGAUCUCAACAACCUUUAAAAUCUUGUUCUAAAAAGCAACGAAAUCCAUAGCCUUGAAAACGGGUUAUUUGAUGAUUUAAAAAAAAAAUUCAAGAAUUACAUCUACAUAUGAAUGAGAUCAGCUCUAUCGAGGAGGGGAUAUUUGACAAUUUAGAGAAACUCUCACUUCUUCAUCUUGCAAAAAAACAACCUUAGUUCUGUAUCGACAUCUCUUUUUUACAAACUUAAAUGUGCAGUAGGAGAUCUUGGAAAAUGCUAACUUUAGCCUGAUAGCACUGAAAGCGAACGUCCCACCUUCCCUGCAAUUGCCGUCCAAAGCCACGCCCCCUGAACGCAUAUACGCUCACAGACCAGAAUACCAGAGACAACAUUACUACAAUAGGCUACAUCAGCGAUUCCCAAUUCCAGCCCAUGUUCUGAAGUGAAGUAAACUUAAAUGGAUUUCCCCUGCUCAGGGAUUAGGGAGCAAUGAACACUGUGUAGGGGUCAUAUCAAUCGGAACACACUUCUUUAACGAGCUGGUUAUCUGAAUCGGGUGUGUUAACUAAGCGAGACAUGCAAAAUAUGCAGAGUGGGUGAGCGGCGCGAGGACUGGGAUUGGGAACCGCUGGGCUACAUCAUGUGUCAUUCACCGGUGAGAAAACUUUAAAAGUAGUACUAUACCAGGAAGGAAAAUCGGGUUGUUGAUGUUUGUCUGCCAUUCUCGCUCUGUCUGCACAGCUUGCGUGAAUGCGCUGAUGACGUAUCCUGUCUGCGGAAACUGGGUGCGCAGAGGAAUGCUAAUACAUACAUUGACAGUCAGGUAGGAAAGCCAAUUAAAAUGCUCUGACCGAGCGUUUUGAUUGGACAAACAUUUCUUGGUCCUACGCCUUGCACAGAAUAUAUAAAUACAGAUAAAUACAUUUAGACCACUUAACUUAAUGAUUGCUAUCGGGAUGUUAAGAGACUUUCAACCAGCAUAACAAAAAAUGUUUCCAGCUGACUGCUCAGCCUGGUCUCAUGUUUAUACGUAGGUAUUAAUACAUAACAUUUACAAGCACA